rnacentral:rRNA from 1 species
GCCAAAUCUAGCCCAAAACCGGACAAGAUACAACUAUAACUCAAUAAUUAAACAAACCAUUUACAAACUGCUAAAAGUAUAGGAGAUAGAAAUUAUACCCACGGCGCCAUAGAGAAAGUACCGCAAGGGAACGAUGAAAGAAGUAAUCAAAGCAUUAAACAGCAAAGUUUACCCCUUGUACCUUUUGCAUAAUGAGUUAACUAGAAAAUUUUAGCAAAGAGAUCUUAAGUUAACAACCCCGAAACCAGACGAGCUAUUCACGAGCAGCUUUACAGAGCGAACUCAUCUAUGUGGCAAAAUAGUGAAAAGACUCCUGAAUAGAGGUGACAAGCCUACCGAGCCUGGUGAUAGCUGGUUGUCCAGAAAAGAAUUUCAGUUCAACUUUAAACCUACCAAAAAACACCCUAAUUUAACUGUAGAUUUAAAAGAUAGUCUAAAAGGGGACAGCCCUUUAGACACAGGAUACAACCUUAUCUAGAGAGUAAGCACAUGAACCCAAACCAUAGUUGGCCUAAAAGCAGCCACCAAUAAAGAAAGCGUUCAAGCUCAACAACCUAAUCACCUUAAUUCCAACAUAAACCUGCCAACUCCUAGAAACAAAACUGGACUAUUCUAUAAAAAUACAUAUAGAAGAGAUACUGUUAAUAUGAGUAACAAGAAUCUUAUUUCUCCCCGCACAAGUGUAUAUCAGCAACGAAUCCUCACUGAUAGUUAACACAUAAAAAGCGAACCAAAGGACAAGCUCUUUAUUCCCCCCCCCGUUAACCCAACACAGGAGUGCCCUAAGGAAAGAUUAAAAGGAGAAAAAGGAACUCGGCAAACAUAAGCCUCGCCUGUUUACCAAAAACAUCACCUCUAGCAUCCUAAGUAUUAGAGGCACUGCCUGCCCAGUGACAUACGUUCAACGGCCGCGGUAUUCUGACCGUGCAAAGGUAGCAUAAUCACUUGUUCUCUAAAUAAGGACUCGUAUGAAUGGCCACACGAAGGCUUUACUGUCUCUUUCUCCCAAUCAGUGAAAUUGACCUCCCCGUGAAGAGGCGGGGAUACAACAAUAAGACGAGAAGACCCUAUGGAGCUUUAAUUAAUUAACCUAAAAAUAAUUAUAAACCACCCAAAAGGAAUAAAACAAAUUCAACUAUAGGUUAACAAUUUAGGUUGGGGUGACCUCGGAGCACAAACCCCCCUCCGAGCAUACUACAAGCCAAGACCUACCAGUCAAAGCUGCAAAAUAACUGAUCCAAAAAAUCUUUGAUCAACGGAACAAGUUACCCUAGGGAUAACAGCGCAAUCCUAUUUAAGAGUCCCUAUCGACAAUAGGGUUUACGACCUCGAUGUUGGAUCAGGACAUCCCAAUGGUGCAACAGCUAUUAACGGUCCGUUUGUUCAACGGUUAAAGUCCUACGUGAUCUGAGUUCAGACCGGAGUAAUCCAGGUCGGUUUCUAUCUAUUUUAUGCCUCUCCCAGUACGAAAGGACCAGAGAGACAAGGCCCACUUGAACCCAAGCGCCUCCUAGCCCAACAGAUGACAUCAUCUUAAAACUGAUACGCUAUAACUACCUUCCCCCCUAGAUACAGGGGU